rnacentral:tmRNA from 1 species
GGGGGUGAACGGUUUCGACUCUGGACGUUGAGUCAGUGGGAAGCGUGCCGGUGCAGGCGAGAGACCACCGUAAGCGUCAUCGCACACCAAUAAGCGCCGACACCAGUCAGCGCGAUCUCGCCCUCGCCGCCUGAGCGAGGAGCUAGAUCUGUCGGACCGGGGAUGUCCCCGCCCCGGAGUCCGGCAUCAGCUAGGGGACUUACCGCCAGGCCCGGUCGCGGGGCCUGUGCGGGACACCUACAGCGACUGGGAUCGUCACACCGGCUGGUCCGCGUGACCGGUGGAUCCGAGCAGAGGCGUAGCGGACUGCGCACGGAGAAGCCCUGAUG